GGGCCUGUGGUGGAAGGGCUAACACGUUCGCUUCACAGGCGAAAGAUUCCCGGUUCAAAUCCGGGCAGGCCCA
rnacentral:tRNA from 1 species